rnacentral:lncRNA from 1 species
UGCUUGUCUUUGCAAGUGGUGACUCCCAUGUAAGAGUUUGUGGUUAUAAUAAACAUGCUUGAGUUUACGAAUUAGAAUUUAAACCUGCUUCCUUAAACUAGCAGGGAGACUUGUACCUGUUUAAAAUUGUACAAGCAUCUCUAUAUAUUCUUAUUUACAUCUAGAUUCUACAUAUACAUGAUAUACAUGUACAGCAUUGAAUCUCUAUGCUCAGCUAACUGGCAUACAUUUAAAUUUUAUGCCAAACAAAAGCACAUAUG